UACGUAGGGGGCAAGCGUUGUCCGGAAUCAUUGGGCGUAAAGCGCGUGUAGGCGGGUCGGUAAGUCCGCUCUGAAAGCCCGGGGCUCAACCCCGGGAGGCGGGUGGAUACUGUCGACCUCGAGUCCGGAAGAGGCGAGUGGAAUUCCUGGUGUAGCGGUGAAAUGCGCAGAUAUCAGGAGGAACACCGGUGGCGAAGGCGGCUAUCUGGACAGAAACUGACGCUGAGGCGCGAAAGCUAGGGGAGCAAACAGG
rnacentral:rRNA from 1 species